rnacentral:tmRNA from 1 species
GGGGGCGCCUUGGCUUCGACGGGGAACAGAGCGGCUAGGAGGCUGCGUGUCGAGUUUCGCCUCGUAAAAGCGAAAUAACACAACUGCCAACGAUAAUCUGGCAUUGGCUGCUUAAGCAGUCACGUCCCGACAGAAGCGUUGAUUCACCGCGUCUGUCUCGGACGUCGCAGUAGUGGAUCGAAGGGCUCGUGGUGCCCCGCACCGGGUCCGGAUUCAAAGCGGGGCUGGCUGACCGUACCGGUUGUCUUCGUCCAUAACACGGUCGGCGAGAUCCUCAAACGAGGGCUACGCACGUAGAAGUUUCCCAGACGCGUUCUUCGGACGUGGGUUCGAUUCCCACCGCCUCCACCA